GACAGAGGGUGCAAACGUUGCUCGGAUUUACUGGGCGUAAAGCGCGUGUAGGCGGGCGACUAAGUCGGAUGUGAAAUCCCUGGGCUCAACCUAGGAACUGCAUUCGAAACUGGUCACCUAGGGUGAUGGAGAGGAAAGCGGAAUUCCCGGUGUAGAGGUGAAAUUCGUAGAUAUCGGGAGGAACACCAGAGGCGAAGGCGGCGAACUGGACAGUAACUGACACUCAACUGCGAAAGCGUGGGGAGCAAACAGG
rnacentral:rRNA from 1 species